GGGGAGGUGGCCGAGUGGUCAAAGGCAGCAGACUGUAAAUCUGCCGGCAAUGCCUACGUAGGUUCGAAUCCUGCCCUCCCCA
rnacentral:tRNA from 1 species